rnacentral:rRNA from 1 species
UACGUAGGGGGCUAGCGUUGUCCGGAUUUAUUGGGCGUAAAGAGCGUGUAGGCGGCCCGGUAAGUCCGCUGUAAAAGUCAAAGGCUCAACCUUUGAAUGUCAGUGGAUACUGCCGGGCUAGAGUCCGGAAGAGGCGAGUGGAACUCCUGGUGUAGCGGUGGAAUGCGCAGAUAUCAGGAAGAACACCAACGGCGAAGGCAGCUCGCUGGGACGGUACUGACGCUGAGACGCGAAAGCGUGGGGAGCGAACAGG